rnacentral:rRNA from 1 species
GGGCGUAAAGAGCUCGUAGGCGGUUUGUCGCGUCUGUCGUGAAAGUCCGGGGCUUAACCCCGGAUCUGCGGUGGGUACGGGCAGACUAGAGUGCAGUAGGGGAGACUGGAAUUCCUGGUGUAGCGGUGGAAUGCGCAGAUAUCAGGAGGAACACCGAUGGCGAAGGCAGGUCUCUGGGCUGUAACUGACGCUGAGGAGCGAAAGCAUGGGGAGCGAACAGGAUUAGAUACCCUGGUAGUCCAUGCCGUAAACGUUGGGCACUAGGUGUGGGGACCAUUCCACGGUUUCCGCGCCGCAGCUAACGCAUUAAGUGCCCCGCCUGGGGAGUACGGCCGCAAGGCUAAAACUCAAAGGAAUUGACGGGGGCCCGCACAAGCGGCGGAGCAUGCGGAUUAAUUCGAUGCAACGCGAAGAACCUUACCAAGGCUUGACAUGUUCUCGAUCGCCGUAGAAAUACGGUUUCCCCUUUGGGGCGGGAUCACAGGUGGUGCAUGGUUGUCGUCAGCUCGUGUCGUGAGAUGUUGGGUUAAGUCCCGCAACGAGCGCAACCCUCGUUCCAUGUUGCCAGCACGUAGUGGUGGGGACUCAUGGGAGACUGCCGGGGUCAACUCGGAGGAAGGUGGGGACGACGUCAAAUCAUCAUGCCCCUUAUGUCUUGGGCUUCACGCAUGCUACAAUGGCCGGUACAAUGGGUUGCGAUACUGUGAGGUGGAGCUAAUCCCAAAAAGCCGGUCUCAGUUCGGAUUGGGGUCUGCAACUCGACCCCAUGAAGUCGGAGUCGCUAG